AGUGAACGCUGGCGGCAUGCCUAACACAUGCAAGUCGAACGGCAGCACAGUAAGUUUGUGCUGUUAUCGGGUGGCGAACGGGUGAGUGAGACGUAUGCACCGGACCCUUCUUUUUGGUGGGCCAUAAGGAAGCGGGAGUUACGCCAAAACCGCAUACCAUGUACCAGUGAGGGCAUUGGAGCGUUUGCGCUUUCGGGAUUGGAUGUGCCGAUGUCGGAUUAGUUAGUUGGGGGGGGAAAGGCCUACCAAGGUGGGGAUCUGUAGCCGGUGUGAGAGGAGGAUCAGCGACACGGGAACUGAGACACGGUCAAGACUCCUACGGGAGGCAGCAGUGGGGAAUGUUGGACAAUGGGCGAAAGCCUGAUCCAGCGAUGCCGCGUGUGUGAAGAAGGCCUUCGGGUUGUAAAGACCUUUUGUGGGGAAAGAAACGCUUUCGCCUAAUACGAAGCGGGGGUGACGGUACCGGAAGAAUAAGCACCGGCUAACUACGUG
rnacentral:rRNA from 1 species